rnacentral:rRNA from 1 species
AUGAACGCUGGCGGCGUGCCUAAUACCUGCAAGUCGAGCGAACAGACGAGGAGCUUGCUCCUCUGACGUUAGCGGCGGACGGGUGAGUAACACGUGGAUAACCUACCUAUAAGACUGGGAUAACUUCGGGAAACCGGAGCUAAUACCGGAUAAUAUAUUGAACCGCAUGGUUCAAUAGUGAAAGACGGUUUUGCUGUUACUUAUAGAUGGAUCCGCGCCGCAUUAGCUAGUUGGUAAGGUAACGGCUUACCAAGGCAACGAUGCGUAGCCGACCUGAGAGGGUGAUCGGCCACACUGGAACUGAGACACGGUCCAGACUCCUACGGGAGGCAGCAGUAGGGAAUCUUCCGCAAUGGGCGAAAGCUUGACGGAGCAACGCCGCGUGAGUGAUGAAGGUCUUCGGAUCGUAAAACUCUGUUAUUAGGGAAGAACAAAUGUGUAAGUAACUAUGCACGUCUUGACGGUACCUAAUCAGAAAGCCACGGCUAACUACGUG